CCUUGGGCCUGGCUUUUCGCGUUCUUCGGACUAGCCGGAGGCUCAGGUUGGUGACCAAGCGGCAAAGUUCCUAGCGCCUGUAGUGUGAACUCCAACUUUUAGGCCAAGUUGAAAAUGCAGCCGACGGCCCCCACACUUCUAACUUCAGAAACAGAACUUCAUGACCCUAGGGAGUGAGGAGGAGAGUGAAAAAUGCAUAAGUGCUGGCUCCUCCCUUACCCUUCGCUGCCUCGCAGCCUUGUUUCUAUAUUCUCACCGGGAGCUUUGGACUUUGAAAGGAUGAGGAGAAUGGGGGAGAGGAAGAGCGUGGCUUUGCCAGCUCCCUGCAGCAAUACAGCAACUUAGAAAUGGCGGGGUCAACGAAAAAAACCCGAGUAAGAGCUGUGAUGGGAACGUUGCCCAGGUGAGAAGCAGAAGCACGAUAAGUAAUCCACCAAAACAUGAGCAGCCUGUUGGAACACUGGAAUAUGAAAUACGUCUGCCAGUACUUGCUGCCCUGUUUGCAUGUAGUGUUGGAGAUACCCCAUGAACACAGAAUUCCAAGAGACCCAGUGGUGCCUAGAAGUUUAAUGAGACUCACAGCUAGCACAAGGUAAGCAUGUUACAGCUAAGUCUGAGUAAACAUAAAUACUGAUAACCUCUUGAGGGUAUGUUUUUUAUUUGAAUGAGAGUUGUUUCUAAUGCAAAAAGAAGACAAUGGCAUUCUAAGAAACACGAAUGAGCAAGGAAUCCUGUGAUAUCCUUUCUUAUUCCCGUUGUUUCCUGGUAUUACACAGCUGGUUUUGCUGAAAGUAAUGACGCCAUAAGUCAAAGGUAGAGAGUGUUGGUAGAAUGUGUUAGUAGACUUGAAAUUAAAAAUUGAGUGAAUUUUGUGUAGUGUGUCCACUGUUCUGGUAAGAAUAAAAUAUAUAUGCAUGUAUGAACCACAAAAUAAGAAUUUUGUGAUUUUGGUGAUUCUACAUAGGAGUUAAAUGUACAUGUUUCUAUUUAAAGCUAGCAUUAUGCAAUAU